GCGUGAUGCAUCCAUAAUGAAUCCACCACAACCGACACGAACGUCGUUCGCACGUAGCGUCGAAUGCGAGGGGCAAAUAGAGGCCAAGGCCUCAUGCCCACAACAUGUUCCGCAUCCAAGAUUUCGAGCAUUACGUCUUGGGUGGGCUACCCGAGCGCGUGCGCACACACACACAAGAG
rnacentral:misc_RNA from 1 species